AUUGAACGCUGGCGGCAUGCCUUACACAUGCAAGUCGAACGGCAGCGGGGGAGAAGCUUGCUUUUCCUGCCGGCGAGUGGCGAACGGGUGAGUAAUACAUCGGAACGUGCCCUGUAGUGGGGGAUAACUAGUCGAAAGAUUAGCUAAUACCGCAUACGACCUGAGGGUGAAAGUGGGGGACCGCAAGGCCUCAUGCUAUAGGAGCGGCCGAUGUCUGAUUAGCUAGUUGGUGGGGUAAAGGCCUACCAAGGCGACGAUCAGUAGCUGGUCUCGGAGGACGAGCAGCCACACGGGGACUGAGCAACGGCCCGGACUCCUACGGGAGGCAGCAGUGGGGAAUUUUGGACAAUGGGCGAAAGCCUGAUCCAGCAAUGCCGCGUGUGUGAAGAAGGCCUUCGGGUUGUAAAGCACUUUUGUCCGGAAAGAAAUGGCUCUGGUUAAUACCUGGGGUCGAUGACGGUACCGGAAGAAUAAGGACCGGCUAACUACGUGCCAGCCGCCGCGGUAA
rnacentral:rRNA from 1 species